ensembl:misc_RNA 7SK 7SK RNA
GGAAGUGAGGGCAAUCUGGCUGCGACAUCUGUCACCCCACUAAUUACCGGUGUUGAUUCAGCUGAUCUGGCUGGCUAGGAGAGUGUCCUCUUCCUCCCUCAGCACUCCAUGUGUGUCCCUCUCGAAGCUGCACUCUCAGUUGAAGAUGCUGAUCAUCCCUGAUAGGGGAGGCCUGGCCUUCUUCGGUCAAGGGUAUAUGAGUAGCUACACUCCACUGCUAGAACCUCCAAACAAGCCCUCAAGAAGGAGUGAUUUAUACUCACCAGUUUACAAAAUACUUUGCUAUACAAGUUAGGCAAGUUGAGUGAGAUGAUCUAUAAGCCAUUACU